rnacentral:rRNA from 1 species
UACGUAGGGGGCGAGCGUUGUCCGGAGUUACUGGGCGUAAAGGGCACGCAGGCGGUCAUGUAAGUCUGUUCUGACAGCUCCUGGCUCAACCGGGAGAGGCGAACGGAAACUGUAUGACUUGAGGACUUCAGAGGGACACGGAAUUCCGGGUGGAGUGGUGAAAUGCGUAGAGAUCCGGAGGAACACAAAAGGCGAAGGCAGUGUCCUGGGAAGUACCUGACGCUCAGGUGCGAAAGCCAGGGGAGCGAACGGG